CAGUAGCCGCGGUAAUACGUAGGGUGCAAGCGUUAAUCGGAAUUACUGGGCGUAAAGCGUGCGUAGGUGGUUGUAUAAGUCUGGUGUGAAAGCCCUGGGCUCAACCUGGGAAUUGCAGUGGAUACUGUGCAACUAGAGUAUGGUAGAGGGUAGUGGAAUUCCCGGUGUAGCAGUGAAAUGCGUAGAUAUCGGGAGGAACAUCGAUGGCGAAGGCAGUUACCUGGACCAACACUGACACUGAUGCACGAAAGCGUGGGGAGCAAACAGGAUUAGAUACCCCUGUAGUCCCUGUCUCUUAUAC
rnacentral:rRNA from 1 species